rnacentral:lncRNA from 13 species
ACUGAGCUCCCUGCUUUACCAGCAUUUAUCUUGGAAUGUAAAGUGACCUAUCUACUUUCCAUAUAUAUACUGCCAGUUGCCUCUCUUCCUUUCCUGUACCCCUCCUUUUCCUGACUCUUCAUUUCGACCUGAGACUUGGGGAUAUAGGACUGCCUUUCUGACUUACCCAGGAUCUUAUUUGAUGGCCUGAAAAGAAGUCUGAUGAAAUAGAUGUUACCUGAAGCUGAGUGACUUUCUCAGGGUCAAGCAAAUAAGUAAAUGGAGGAGUCAGGAUUAUAUCCCAGGAUACCCAUCACAAGGAGAGGAGGGCUACCAUCCCAGCUGCAGGCUCUCAUUCGAGGUUUAUGCUGCAGCCAGCAGUGUCCUUGGAGUCUAGUUCAAAGCUGAAGAGAGUGAACCAUGGAGCUGGGAGCCACUGGCAGAGGGGCUGGCCUGAAGGAAGGGAAGUGUUUCAGCCAGAAUGUACUGAUGUACGACCAGGAAACCACAAGACUGGCUGGAGUGCAAUGGCAUGUCUCGGCUCACCGCAACCUCCGCCUCCUGGAUUCAGGCAAUUCUCCUGCCUCAGCCUCCCGAGUAGCUGGGAUUACAGGCACAGUCAUGGCUCACUGCAGCCUCAAACUUCUGGAUUCAAGCAAUCCUCUUGCCUCAGCCUCCCAAGUAACUGGGACCACAGGUAUGAGCCACAACACCCAGCUAAUUAA